rnacentral:lncRNA from 1 species
CAGAAAUGUUUGUUCAUGUUUAAAACUUGUUCAGUCAAAAGUUUGUUCGUGCUAAUUCUCAAUUAUAUUGAUGAAUUAUAGCCAGUUUAUUAUUCAUACUCUUCAAUCAUGGUAUAUCUUUAUAUUGUUGUAUUUAAACUUGCUGGGCAAUUUUCAUGCUCACCCUUGCUAUAUCAUGAUAAACAUUGCAGAUAAGGCGAAUGCGUUCGGAUACAGGAAAAGGUUAAUGUCAAGUUCAGUUUGUAAUAAAUUGUGCGGC